rnacentral:RNase_P_RNA from 1 species
GAGGAAAGUCCGGGCUCCACAGAGCGCAGUGAUGGAUAACGUCCACCGCGAAUCUCCCGCCGACUCUCCGGUGUCGGUGGAAUCGAUUCGCCGGGAAAGUGCAACAGAAAGCAGACCGCCCGGAAUUCGGGUUUGGCGUUUGGGAAACGGGGGUCGCACCCCGCCAAGCUCUUAACCCGAAUUUCUGGUAAGGGUGAAACGGUGGGGGAACGCAAGUUCCUUAAUGUAAGAGCCCACCAGCGGCGGGGUGACUCGUCGGCUCGGCAAACCCCACUGGGAGCAAGGCUAAACAGGGGAGAGGAACUGCUCGUUCCGUCAUCAUCUCCGGGUAAGCCGCUUGAUCGACCGGGCAACCGGUCGGCUAGAUAAAUGAUCGUCACCGUCGGACAACCGUCGGAACAGAACCCGGCUUA